GUGUUGGUAGAAAGGAGAGUUGAUUGGCAUCCCCAAUUGGGACAGGGAAAGCCUUCAAGCUUUACCUCCUACCAUCACAUUCGAUUAAGGCUACACACUUUGGUGGGCCUAUAAGCCCUAUUAAUA